GGAUGAGGCAGGUGCGCCGUUCCUCCACCCCACGACCAGGUGAGGGCGAACGGGGAACUGCCUGAGCUCCGAGCCCGGAAGCUUCAAAAUCAGAACGAGGAAGGUCGGUGAGGAGGCCACGCUCGCGGGACGGGGGCAGGAAGCGCAGCCGGAGCUGCAGAUCUCGGCCGCGCCCCGCGGGCUCCAAUCCCGAGCGUCCCCCGCACGCGCAGCCGCGCUCGCCCGCGGGGCCUAAGGGCUGCUCAGGGCGGAGACCCCGUAGGUCCCGGUUCUGGCGGAUUUGGCCCAGGCACCCCCAGCCCCCAGGUAGGAGGCACAACCCUGCUCCCAAUGCCCAACACCUGCCCCCAAUGCCCAACACCUGCCCCACACACCUGAGGUACCUCCUGGGCGUCCCACACCAGGACAGGCCUGGAGACUUCCAGCCACUGCCACCUGGCACACCCAGCACCUGCAGAUCCACCACCUUAAAACCCACCUCUACUGCCCCAUGUCACGGUCCCUGCGGGGCCAGGCCUGCCUGGCACGUCCACCCCGGGUCUCCCUGCCUCACCCUCUUGCGCAUCCACAGUGAACAGGGGCAUCUUUCCAAAAUGCAGAUCUGGCCGGGUGCGGCGGCUCAUGCCUGUAAUCCCAGCACUUUGGGAGGCCGAAGCAGGUGGAUCACAUGAAGUCAGAAGUUGGAGACUAGCCUGGCCAACAUGGUAAAACCCCGUCUCUACUAAAUGUAUAAAAACUAGUGGGAUGUGGUGGCGGCUAACUGUAAUCCCAGCUUCUUGGGAGGCCGAGGCACAAGAAUUGCUUGAACCCGAGAGGCAGAAGUUGCAGCAAGCUGAGAUCUCACCACUGCACUCUAGCCUGGGCAACAUAGCAAGACUCUGUCUCAAAAACAAACAAACAAAAUGCAGAUUGAAUCCAGGCUCACCUGGUGACAGCUGUCCAUAUCCCCACCCUUUCAGGACAGCAUGGCUGCCCUUUUGUGGGUGGUUCCAGCUACCCAGACCCUGUCCUUCUCAACACCCCCUCAUUAAGGUAGGACCCUAAAGUGAAUUCCUCCUUGUCCUUCAAAGCCAGCCUCCAGCAUCGCCUCCUCUGGGAUCUUCUCUGACUUCCCAGUCGGUUUCAGAAGCCUCUGAUGACCCCAUGCGGAGAAGACUGCUCCCCUCACUGCUGGCACACGGCAGAUGCUCAGUAAGUAUCGUUCAAUGACUGACUAAAUGUCUCAUAAUAUCCUUCAUAAACAAGGGCCUGGUGUGGAUUCAUAAAUGGGUCUCUCAAAGUUUAAUUGGUGAGACUCUGUUGUAUCAGACAAUGAAGGGUUAAAAGAUAAUAUUCAAAAAAGUAAAAUCAUGACACACAAAUCUAGAAUGAACACACAUUGAUAAGGUUUGGAUCUGUGUCCUCACCCAAACCUCAUGUCGAACUGGGAUCCCCCGUGUCAGAGGCGGCCGCGUGGGAGGUGACCGGAUCGCGGGUGGACCCUUCAUGAAGGGUUCAGCACCAUCCCCUUGGUGCUGUCCUGGGACAGAGUUCUCUUGCGAUCUGGUUGUUUAAACGUGUGUGGCCCCUUCCCCCUCUCUUUUCCUCCUCCUCCUGCCGUGGGAGACACUUGCUCCAGCUUCGCCUUCCGCCGCGAGUUGAAGCUCCCCGAGGCCUCCUCAGAAGCAGAAGCCACCACGCUUCCUGUACAGCCUGUGGGACCCGGAGCCAGUUCAACCUCUUUUCUUUAUAAAUUACCCAGACUCGGCCGGGCACGGUGGCUCACGCCUGUAAUCCCAGCACUUUGUUGAGACCGAGGCAGGCAGAUCACGAGGUCAGGAGAUCGAGAACAUCCUGGCUAACACGGUGAAACCCCGUCUCUACUAAAAAUACAAAAAAUUAGCCGGGCGUGGUGGCGGGCGCCUGUGGUCCCAGCUACUCGGGAGGCUGAGGCAGGAGAAUGGUGUGAACCCGGG
rnacentral:lncRNA from 1 species